CAAGGUUUCCGUAGGUGAACCUGCGGAAGGAUCAUUAUUGAAUAAUCAAGGAAAGAGGUAGAGAGAGAGACUGUCGCUGGUCAGACUAGUCUAGUCUAGCAUGUGCACGUCCCCCUCGCCUUCUUUCUUUAUCUACACACACCUGUGCACCUUUUGUAGAUCUCUUCCCUCUCGAAAGAGUGGGAGGAAUCUAUGUCUUUAUCAUAUCACACAUGUUGUAUGGCCAGAAUGAAACGAUAUAUAACAUAUACAACUUUCAGCAACGGAUCUCUUGGUUCUCGCAUCGAUGAAGAACGCAGCGAAUUGCGAUAAGUAAUGUGAAUUGCAGAUUUCCAGUGAAUCAUCGAAUCUUUGAACGCAUCUUGCGCUCCUUGGUAUUCCGAGGAGCAUGCCUGUUUGAGUGUCAUUUAAUUAUCAACCAUCUCUCCCUCUUUGAGAGGUAUGGAUUGGACUUGGAGGUUGCUGGUGGCCUGACCAUCAGCUCCUCUUAAAUGCAUUAGCGAUCGAGUUGGCUGGUCUUUUGACAUGCACGGCCUUGGACGUGAUAAUGAUCCGUCCUGGCUGGAGCGUCUUUCCUAGACUAUGUACAUGGAUGGCUUCUAAUAAAAUAUGACAGUAAGGGACGUCGGUCUACUAGUCUAUCAAGCUUAGUUACUAGGCAGUCGAAAGGCUGGCGAACACAAGCAAGACAAAGAUGGAUCAUACCUUUCUUUCGAUCUAUAAGAGACUUGACCUCAAAUCAGGUAGGAUUACCCGCUGAACUUAAGCAUAUC
rnacentral:rRNA from 1 species